GAGUCGGACACGACUUAGCACCUAAACCACCAACAAUACAUUCCAGAAAAACAGCUUCAAGAAAGGUUCAUUCCUUGAAAACAGAUCUUCACAGCCAGUUUUGAAUCCUCACUUCUAGCAAGUUCUCUUCUAAAUUGCUCUCUUGUCUCAAACACAUCUCCAGCUGUUCCAGAUACUGAUGAUGUCCAAUGUGGAAUUUCUCCAAGAGGGUCUUAUCCCAAACAUCCUGGGCCUCUGUAUUGAAGAUGCUGCAGAGAUAUCUCAGGGAAGACAGCAGGGUGUGGGCUUUCCUGAAACUGCCCAGCAUCCACUGGAUCCCAGAUAUCAGUCAGGCCUGUUUUCCAGAAAUUAAAGAUUCAAAGCACUUGUUUU